rnacentral:rRNA from 1 species
GGAUGAACGCUAGCGGCAGGCCUAAUACAUGCAAGUCGAGGGGCAGCACGGCAGCAAUUCAGGCGACGACCGGCGCACGGGUGAGUAACGCGUAUGCAACCUACCUCAAACAGGGGGAUAGCUCAGGGAAACCUGGAUUAAUACCCCAUAAUAUUUAGAUUUGGCAUCAGAUUUAAAUUAAAACUCCGGUGGUUUGAGAUGGGCAUGCGUGACAUUAGCUAGUUGGUAAGGUAAUGGCUUACCAAGGCUACGAUGUCUAGGGGUUCUGAGAGGAUGAUCCCCCACACUGGUACUGAGACACGGACCAGACUCCUACGGGAGGCAGCAGUGAGGAAUAUUGGUCAAUGGGCGCAAGCCUGAACCAGCCAUCCCGCGUGUAGGAAGACUGCCCUAUGGGUUGUAAACUACUUUUAUAAAGGAAGAAACCCUUCUACGUGUAGAAGGCUGACUGUAGUAUAUGAAUAAGGACCGGCUAACUCCGUGCCAGCAGCCGCGGUAAUACGGAGGGUCCAAGCGUUAUCCGGAUUUAUUGGGUUUAAAGGGUGCGCAGGCGGUAUAAUAAGUCAGUGGUGAAAUCUCGAGGCUCAACCUCGGAACUGCCAUUGAUACUGUUGUACUCGAGUAUAGUUGAGGCAGGCGGAAUGUGUAAUGUAGCGGUGAAAUGCAUAGAUAUUACACAGAACACCGAUUGCGAAGGCAGCUUGCUAAAAUGACACUGACGCUAAUGCACGAAAGCGUGGGGAGCGAACAGGAUUAGAUACCCUGGUAGUCCACGCCGUAAACUAUGAUCACUCGAUGUUGGCGAUACACAGUCAGUGUCUAAGGGAAACCGAUAAGUGAGCCACCUGGGGAGUACGUCGGCAACGAUGAAACUCAAAGGAAUUGACGGGGGCCCGCACAAGCGGUGGAGCAUGUGGUUUAAUUCGAUGAUACGCGAGGAACCUUACCUGGGCUCAAAUGUAGGUUGACGUACCGUGAAAGCGGUAUUUCUUCGGACAAUUUACAAGGUGCUGCAUGGUUGUCGUCAGCUCGUGCCGUGAGGUGUCGGGUUAAGUCCCAUAACGAGCGCAACCCCUAUCAUUAGUUGCCAUCAGGUCAAGCUGGGGACUCUAGUGAAACUGCCUACGCAAGUAGAGAGGAAGGUGGGGAUGACGUCAAAUCAGCACGGCCCUUACGUCCAGGGCUACACACGUGCUACAAUGGCCGGUACAGAGGGCAGCCACUGCGUGAGCAGGAGCGAAUCUCGAAAGCCGGUCUCAGUUCGGAUCGAAGUCUGCAACCCGACUUCGUGAAGCUGGAAUCGCUAGUAAUCGCGCAUCAGCCAUGGCGCGGUGAAUACGUUCCCGGGCC